UAUUUAAAAAUAGCAACUCAAGAAAAAAAUAAUAAAUAUAAGCACUUUUUUUUGCAAGAAGAAGAAAAAAAAAAGUAAGCGCUCACUCUCACUCUAAAAUUCACCCAAAUGCGCAUCGAAGGAAAAGAAUAUGACAUCAUGUUUACAAGUCUCUGAGCAAAUCUCACAUUUAAUAAAGUGGAAAGAUAUUUUUUUCUUUUCACAUGAAAACGAAAAAAAUAAAUGACAGACUGACUGAGAACGACAAAAAAAAAAACAACAACUAAGGAUUUUGAGGAGGAGACUAUCAAAGUUCAGUAUUACACCCCAUCCCUAUCAAGCAAAAAUGGCAAAUGUAUGAGAUCUUGAAAAUGACAUGUUAGCAGCAUCCAGGCCAACUCGUCAUUUAUCCUUUGCCGAACGGAACGAAAGCGCAAAAUGAUGGAAAUUAUUUUGAAAGAAUUUUUUUUCCAGUUCUAGUUCAAAGGGUGUCCUGAUGGGUGUUUUGGAUGUUGGUCGGCGAGAAGAGUUGGAAGAUUUUCAAUGGUGAAGAUGAGCUGAAGUUGAUUGUGUAUAAGGAUUUUUUUACUCGUUUUCCAUUUGUCAAGCAGAAAUGAAGUACCUACACUUCUCGAACGACACUAUCGCGAUAUGAAAAAGCGAGCGGAAACAACAGUCGUAUAUUUAUAAAAGAUAUAUCUUGAUGACUGCGGAGUGUGGUUAGCAGAUUUAUUUUUUGUGUCGAAGUAGAAUAUGGUAAAAACAUCAGAAAAAAUUCCAAUCCCCAACCUCAUUCCACAUCCACAUCCGUGCUAUUUUCAUUCGAUCAGAGAGGAAAGAUAGGAGUUUUUCCGCUUUACCAAACAUGUUUCAUAUUUUUAUGACUUUUUGAUGUUCCACAUUCGAUUUGAUUAAAUGGCAGCGAUAAAGAGAUCUCUCUACUUGAA